rnacentral:rRNA from 1 species
GACGAACGCUGGCGGCGUGCUUAACACAUGCAAGUCGAACGGUGAAGCUCCAGCUUGCUGGAGUGGAUCAGUGGCGAACGGGUGAGUAACACGUGAGCAACCUGCCCCUGACUCUGGAAUAAGCGCUGGAAACGGCGUCUAAUACUGGAUACGAGAAGGGUCCGCAUGGGCACUUUCUGGAAAGUUUUUCGGUUGGGGAUGGGCUCGCGGCCUAUCAGCUUGUUGGUGAGGUAAUGGCUCACCAAGGCGACGACGGGUAGCCGGCCUGAGAGGGCGACCGGCCACACUGGGACUGAGACACGGCCCAGACUCCUACGGGAGGCAGCAGUGGGGAAUAUUGCACAAUGGGCGAAAGCCUGAUGCAGCGACGCCGCGUGAGGGAUGACGGCCUUCGGGUUGUAAACCUCUUUCAGCAGGGAAGAAGCGAAAGUGACGGUACCUGCAGAAGAAGCACCGGCCAACUACGUG